GAUGAAGAACGUAGCGAAAUGCGAUAAGUAAUGCGAAUUGCAGAAUCCGUGAGUCAUCGAAUCUUUGAACGCAUAUUGCGCCCUUUGGUAUUCCGAAGGGCAUGCCUGUUCGAGCGUCAUUAUCACCCCUCAAGCCCGGCUUGCUGUUGGACCCCGUCGGCGCGCCCGCGCCGGCCGGUCUCAAAGAUAAUGACGGCGUCUGUCGAGGACUCCAGUACACUGAGCUUUCGGGCACGUACUCGGUUCAAGGACUCCAGACCCGGUCACUUUUUUCAAUAAUCUUAUCAAGGUUGACCUCGGAUCAGGUAGGAAUACCCGCUGAACUUAAGCAUAUCAAUAAGCCGGAGGA
rnacentral:misc_RNA from 1 species